rnacentral:rRNA from 1 species
CAGUAGCCGCGGUAAUACGUAGGUGGCAAGCGUUGUCCGGAAUUAUUGGGCGUAAAGGGCUCGCAGGCGGUUUCUUAAGUCUGAUGUGAAAGCCCCCGGCUCAACCGGGGAGGGUCAUUGGAAACUGGGAAACUUGAGUGCAGAAGAGGAGAGUGGAAUUCCACGUGUAGCGGUGAAAUGCGUAGAGAUGUGGAGGAACACCAGUGGCGAAGGCGACUCUCUGGUCUGUAACUGACGCUGAGGAGCGAAAGCGUGGGGAGCGAACAGGAUUAGAUCCCCCGUAGUCCCUGUCUCUUAUACA